CCUACGGGUGGCAGCAGUGGGGAAUAUUGCACAAUGGGCGCAAGCCUGAUGCAGCCAUGCCGCGUGUGUGAAGAAGGCCUUCGGGUUGUAAAGCACUUUCAGCGGGGAGGAAGGCGGUGAGGUUAAUAACCUCAUCGAUUGACGUUACCCGCAGAAGAAGCACCGGCUAACUCCGUGCCAGCAGCCGCGGUAAUACGGAGGGUGCAAGCGUUAAUCGGAAUUACUGGGCGUAAAGCGCACGCAGGCGGUCUGUCAAGUCGGAUGUGAAAUCCCCGGGCUCAACCUGGGAACUGCAUUCGAAACUGGCAGGCUAGAGUCUUGUAGAGGGGGGUAGAAUUCCAGGUGUAGCGGUGAAAUGCGUAGAGAUCUGGAGGAAUACCGGUGGCGAAGGCGGCCCCCUGGACAAAGACUGACGCUCAGGUGCGAAAGCGUGGGGAGCAAACAGGAUUAGAUACCCCUGUUAGUC
rnacentral:rRNA from 1 species